rnacentral:rRNA from 1 species
UACGUAGGGUGCAAGCGUUGUCCGGAAUUAUUGGGCGUAAAGGGCGCGUAGGCGGUUCGUACAGUCAGACGUGAAAUUCCUGGGCUCAACCUGGGGGCUGCGUUUGAUACGUGCGGACUUGAGUGCGGAAGAGGGUCGUGGAAUUCCCAGUGUAGAGGUGAAAUGCGCAGAUAUUGGGAAGAACACCAGUGGCGAAGGCGGUUCUCUGGGACGGUACUGACGCUGAGACGCGAAAGCGUGGG